ACCUUUAUGGAUUAUUCAUAAAAGCCCCGAACCACAAGCUGUAAGUGAUAUAAUAACAGCAUCUAGUGUAACAAAAGCUAACUGCUAAUAGCUGCUAUAAAAAGGAUGCUGGUGGCUACAGACGUUUUCGGUAUGAGCGUCACUGUUCAGGUUUUUUGUGGCUAAAUAUCUUUAAAAAAGACCCCAAAGCAGUGAUGUACUCAGGCUGUUUGAUGGUCAGGGUGAAAAAAAUGAUUAAAGAGCACCCUUUGUAUGUCAUAUGGCACCACAACACAAAAAGUUGUUAACUAUUAAGACCUGCCUCUCUGUCAGCGUUUUGAAGAUCAUUUUGUAUACUUUAUACUUUUCUGCAUCUUCCUUGCAUUUUGACCCUGUCAAGUCUGUCAAAAAUAAACAACAUGCGGCCAGUAGGUUUGGGUGUCCUCUGCAAGGGGUAUCAGGCAUUUCAGACCAAAUACCGUGAAUUCUGCUGAACAUUUAUGCAGCAAAUUGUGGCAAUUUUAUCCUGUAAAAGAAAAGAUCAAGAUUACAAAUGCAUGAUUAACAAAAAAAUAAUGCUACGGUUUGCAAGUCCAGAAAGACUUAACCUGCUUUGCUUCACAUGGUAAAUUCAGCACUGAGUAGUUUGUGUAAUGCAAAUCAAAUCAAAGAACAACUCAUUUGACACCUACAUUUAAAAAAAGAUUAAAAAAACAAACCCUUAAACAAAUCCUGCAUGUCAACCAAACAAAUGAGCUAAAAUUACUGACUGGUCCUUUUAUCCAUUGAUCGGACAUUCAGAUGGCAUAUUUAUAUUUUUAUUUAUUUAUAUUCACAGAAGGGGAAUCCAGGUUUUUCUAAUGUUUUGUUCAGAGGGCACUUGUUACAUGGGCACCACAUUAUGUAUACUGUAAGAGAAACAUCCGCAUACCUCAGGUAAACCUGUUAGCCCCAGUUUUGAGGGUUUUGUUUAACAUAGUCCCAUUUCAGGGAUAGUGUUACACACAGUGGUGGAGAAUGGUGGGUAUGUUAUGAUUGAAUUGAUUGGCUUUUGUCUGUUUUUCCCCUGUUAGAUAAACUGUCACAGCAGUUCUCCUUUUGACUGUGUACUGCCAUCUAUUGGCAUUGUAAGGAGUAACAUGUAAGAUGCUACUUAAAUAAGAGGUGAUACUGUCUUGCACACAAAAAGGGAUAUACCGUGUUCUUGUAAAACUAAUGUUCCAACAAAACCAUGUCCGAUAAAAAUGUCUUCGUAUAGAAACAUGCAGGAAUUUGUAUGCUAUUUCUCCUGUUAUAAAUGCAUGUACUUUGCUCUUUUCCGUGAAUAUUAAGACCAGGCCACUAAAACUGUUAUUUUAAUGUCUGUGCAAAGCUUGUGGGACCAUUUUAGUUCAUAUGCAUUUAGACAAUAGCUCUCUCUAAGCGCAGCCUGAACAGCUUACCAUUUUAAAAGGAUAGACAUGAUUACACAAUUAUAAGAGAGGGCCGCUCUUCCACUGUAUGAAUAUAGCUAAGCAGAGACUUUCAUAAGCUGUUUACAUCUUUUUUAUAAAUCAGCUUUAAAGGCUUAGUAUUUCUGUUCCUCUGAGUUCAAGAGUUUUAUACUCUGCCAUUUCUUUUAUCCUUGCUCUUGCUCAUUCCCCAUGGUAACCUCUUAAUUCCCUCUCAUGUUCAAUUUAUUGUCCAUAUCUUUUUUCAUCUAAUUGGUUUUCUAUACCUUACUGACCAGUCCAGUUUGCACCUCAUGACCCCCAUCAGUCAGUCCUACAUAGAGUAUCUUAUGUGACUGUUUGUAGCUUCUCACUCUUAAUUCUCAUGUUGGCUGUAGAUCGAAUCUGACUGUCAUCCAAAACAACAUUAAGAACAACACUGCUCUCAUAAUAAAUAUGGGUAAAUCAGAUAGUCUGUAUGAUUACAUAUUAGUUUCUUUGUUCACAGCCUGAGGUAUCAGGUUUCAAAUGAGUCUGGUCGCCUCCUGUUAGACUGGACUGUGUAUCUGAUUCUUAUUCUGAUCCUGAUUAGGAGGCCAGUCCACUGUGUUGUGUCAUGGUGCACCAGCCUAAAACACAAUAUGUCAGCUUAUCAAAUACAGGUAAAACCUACAGGAUAAGGAGAAAAGGGGUUACCAAACAAAUUUCAGAAAUGUCUGAUGUCAUAUUCUCAUGAGCAUUUAUAUUUGGCAGCAAAAAAGAGACUAUUUGAUCAGCUUGAAUCUGGAGUUGUACAGAAGCAGCUUUAAUAGUUUGGACAAGUUGUGCAAACAGUUGUACAGUGAUAACUCUGUAUAAGAACAAGCUCAAAAUUGUCAGUGGUCACAUCGUUUUGAUUUAAAAAAAGCAGUUUAGCAUCUCAAAAAAAAAAAUAAAAAAAAUGGAGAAAAGUCUUGUGUUCUUUCAGAUAAACUCUAAAAUAAACUCAUUUACUGAUUUUUACAGGACGGACUACUGUUAGGCCUCCCCUCAAGAGAAAAAGCUUGUCCUCAACAGUCACAGUCUGACAAGAGAAAUCAGGAACCAGCACUCAGCCUGCUUCAAUCUCUACACCAACUUCUUUUACAUCAUUUCUGCGCUAGUGAAACAUAUCAGAUAAUGGGGUCAGAGUAUGAUUUUAUGUAAACUUAGGAGGGCUCUAAGAUAAUUGAUAACUUGUAAAACCCUCAACCGGUUUAACGUGGAGAUGCUUUGUGCUUCUUUGUGGCACAUGUAGCCUGCUAACUGUAAUCACACUCAAUUAAUUCAACAUUGUCCAUUAUCACUCAUAUCCUAAACCUGUAAACUGAACGUCUUUUGUUUCACCAUUACAUGAGCUGUUGUCGUUGUUGCUGUUGUUCCUGCUGCCUCCUGUCUCUCUCUCACCCUCGUUCCCUACUCUCUCUCCCUCCCCCUCCCUCUCUGUACUAAUUCUCUCUCGCCUUUCCCCUAUCUUGCUGUCUCUCUCCCUUCCCCUGUCCUCUCCUCCUCUCCCCUCUUCUCUCUACAUUCCACCCCAACCCAGCAGCGGCAUGGUGGCUGUCUAGCAUGAGUCUGGUCCUGCCCAAGGUUUCUGCCUGUUAAAAGGAAGUUUUUCCUUGCCACUGCUACUCAUGUUAGUUGAGAUGGGCCAAAACCCAUCUUAGGUUGGUUCUUGAUCAUCAAACAAUGAGCGCGGUCCUGACCUGCUCUUGUUCCUUGAAAAGCGUCUUGAGAUGACGACUGUUGUGAAUUGGCG
rnacentral:lncRNA from 1 species